rnacentral:rRNA from 1 species
AUAGCAAGUCGAGCGAGGAGAUUCCUUCGGGAUGAUCCUAGCGGCGGACGGGUGAGUAACACGUGGGCAACCUGCCUCAUAGAGAGGAAUAGCCUUCCGAAAGGGAGAUUAAUACCUCAUAACAUUGCAGUUUCGCAUGGAACAGCAAUUAAAGGAGCAAUCCGCUAUGAGAUGGGGCCCCGCGGCGCAUUAGGCUAGUUGGUGAGGUAACGGCUCACCAAGGCGACGAUGCGUAGCCGACCUGAGAGGGUGAUCGGCCACAUUGGGACUGAGACACGGCCCAGACUCCUACGGGAGGCAGCAGUGGGGAAUAUUGCACAAUGGGGGGAAACCCUGAUGCAAGCAACGCCGCGUGAGUGAUGACGGCCUUCGGGUUGUAAAGCUCUGUCUUCAGGGACGAUAAUGACGGUACCUGAGGAGGAAGCCACGGCUAACUACGUGCCAGCCGCUGC